ensembl:lncRNA
CUCUCCUCUAUUAUUUUCUUCAAAAGGCAAUAGAAGGUUUGAGAGAUGUCAAAUCCCAGAGCCAGGUCAAUCCACUUGCACGACAGAGGGCUUUCAGGACCAAAUCUGGCCAAAACAAAGGAAUAUAAAUAUGGGGAAAGUCACAAUCAUACAUGCAGCAUAAGAGAAUAGCUGUCUUCCAAGAAACCUUACUUGGCGUGGUCAGAGUGAGCUCCCGGUCUCUACAUCUACUGUCACCAUUAUGCCAUCCUAGAAAGACAAGUUUGCCAUUGUUAUGGAGCACAAAGGAGACAAAAGGACCCUUUAUGGAAUGGCGCUAGGAAGUGUAUGAAGCCAUGCAGAGCUUUUUCCAAAACUACAGAAUGUCCACUCAAACCAGUCAAAAUUAAUAGCAGUGUUCUUUAAACAGCAUUGUUGCCUUCCUCUGGAUGCUUUCACGGACCUUAACAUCCUUUCUUAUGUUGUGAAGACCAGAAUGACAGACAAUAUUCAAGAUGAGGCUGCACCAACACUCUCUCAUCAUCCUGCUGAUCAACUGGGGAGCCCAGUUUCCUCUCAUUGUUCAUAUUGUCAGAGGUGUUGGCAGCACAUCUCCAGCUCUUCACUGCCACCUUGGCCACUCCGACACAUCCCACUGAGGAUACAGCCUUACGAGAUGAAGAUGCACAGGCUCAUGUUCACUGCCAGAAUGAACCACUUCAUAUGGUAUUGGGCACGAUCAUAUGAACUUCCAGUAAAGUUAAGUUCAAGUGUAGUUCACUGUGCAACUCAAAGAAUGCUUUUUUUCCUCCUCCUUUUAAAAGCACUGUUCAUCAAAGCCUUCUUUGCAUGAUUAUUCCCUAUAAUUUCGUUUGCAGCUCCUGAUUUAUCAAAAUACUUAAGUGCUUAGAUUUAUAUUUGUGAGAAGAGACAUACAAAAAAAUCAUUACAGGGAGAGAUACAAUCAAUCUGAUAUUGAAGCUGUUUUAAAGUAAGGAUGUUGUAAGUGGCCAAUAAUUAAAUAGGAGUGCAUUAUGUGCAUACCAUAUUUAUCAAUAAAAAUACCGUAUAUAAAU